rnacentral:pre_miRNA from 1 species
AUUAUACUCCCUCCGACCGAAAAUACUUGUCCUAGAAAUGAUUGUAUCUAGACUUAUUUUAGUUAUAGAUACAUCCAUUUUAUCCAUUUCUAGGACAAGUAUUUCCGAACGGAGGGAGUAUAUU